GGGUGCGAUUAUAUCAGCACUAGUGCACUGAAUCCCAUCAGAACUCCGCAGUUACGCGUGCUUGGGCGAGUGUAGUACUAGGAUGGGUGACCUCUUGGGUAGUCCUCGUGUUGCACCCA
rfam:Eutrema salsugineum unplaced genomic scaffold scaffold_31, whole genome shotgun sequence.